AUUGAACGCUGGCGGCAUGCCUUACACAUGCAAGUCGAACGGUAACGCGGGGCAACCUGGCGACGAGUGGCGAACGGGUGAGUAAUAUAUCGGAACGUGCCCAGUAGUGGGGGAUAGCCCGGCGAAAGCCGGAUUAAUACCGCAUGAGACCUGAGGGUGAAAGCGGGGGAUCGCAAGACCUCGCGCUAUUGGAGCGGCCGAUAUCAGAUUAGGUAGUUGGUGGGGUAAAGGCCUACCAAGCCGACGAUCUGUAGCUGGUCUGAGAGGACGACCAGCCACACUGGGACUGAGACACGGCCCAGACUCCUACGGGAGGCAGCAGUGGGGAAUUUUGGACAAUGGGCGCAAGCCUGAUCCAGCCAUUCCGCGUGCAGGAUGAAGGCCUUCGGGUUGUAAACUGCUUUUGUACGGAACGAAACGGCGAGCUCUAAUACAGUUUGCUAAUGACGGUACCGUAAGAAUAAAGCACCGGCUAACUACGUGCCAGCAGCCGCGGUAAUA
rnacentral:rRNA from 1 species